CCAUCUCCAUGUUCCACCAGUGUUCCGCGGCACCACCACCAGCAGACCAACGUAAAUUUUAAAGCAGCAGCCUUGCGCAGCAAUUAGAAGCGGAGUUUUCCUUUUUUUGCACAAACUAAACUAACAGAAAAAUCAUGUCUAAGAGGGGCGGAUCACCAGUUGAACAUGCUGAUGAACAACCGGAAAAAAGAAGUAAAAAUGCAGCCACCUCUACAGAACUAGACAAACAGAACGCUAAUCUUGAAUCAGAUGCUCGAAUUGGCACCUUCUUCACCCCGGUAUCCGUUUCGCGGCCCGAGGCUGAAGACCUGGCAGGAGCUCCCAAAAAAUAAAAAUAGCGUAUAUACUGUAUAUUUAGAAGCCAGGUCCCCCCACCGCAUCUUCUGCACAGAGAGUUCUCUUUAGAGAAAUAUGGUUUCACCGCGAGCGUGGGUUAUGUGUUUAAUUAUCACAGGGGGGAGGUGGGUUUUUAUCAAAUUUGCGACAACGAGCAGUUUUUAACCGACACUCCUCAGUCCAUCAUUAAAUAUGAGGACUGGUUGGUUCUAAUCGCGUUACUCCCGCUAGAUGAGUUUAUCCCAAAAACGAGCCCUGACUCUGAAAAAAACAAAAAUCGAGUUCUUAUCUGGAGCAAUCCUCCCACAAAAUCCAAGAUCGCUCAGAAAAAAGAGUUGUACAAAGCUUCCUGGACAUCCGACACCUGUCACAACGGGGUGUGGAAAUUGCAGGCGAGCAUUUAUGAAAAUGACCAUCUGCAUCCUCAUAAUAUGUUUGUGCU